AUGAACGCUGGCGGCGUGCUUAACACAUGCAAGUCGAACGGUGAAGGCGGAGCUUGCUCUGCUGGAUCAGUGGCGAACGGGUGAGUAACACGUGAGCAAUCUGCCCCUGACUCUGGGAUAAGCGCUGGAAACGGCGUCUAAUACUGGAUACGAGCUGCGAAGGCAUCUUCAGCAGCUGGAAAGAAUUUCGGUCAGGGAUGAGCUCGCGGCCUAUCAGCUUGUUGGUGAGGUAAUGGCUCACCAAGGCGUCGACGGGUAGCCGGCCUGAGAGGGUGACCGGCCACAAUGGGACUGCGACACGGACCAGACUCCUACGGGAGGCAGCAGUGGGGAAUAUUGCACAAUGGGCGAAAGCCUGAUGCAGCAACGCCGCGUGAGGGACGACGGCCUUCGGGUUGUAAACCUCUUUUAGCAGGGAAGAAGCGAAAGUGACGGUACCUGCAGAAAAAGCGCCGGCUAACUACGUG
rnacentral:rRNA from 1 species